CUUCGAGCGCCCCCCUGCGUUUUGAGAGAUAUCUACAAGGUAAAUAGAACGCAAAAGCGCUAAGUUUGUCCCAAACCACUGCCCGUAGUACGUUAACAACAUGGCUGCUCCCUUGAUGUUGAUGCGGCGAAGCUGUAGGCAGGUGACCCUCUUGUCCGCCGCGUCGCGUUACUGGAGCUCUAGCCCUGUGGCUCCGCCCUCAAAACAGUCCAGGCUCCUCCUCUUCCUGAGCCAGCGUUUCCAUGACAUUGAGACUCUCCUCAGCUGGAGCUCCUGGUUCAAGAAUCGAGGUCUACGACAGAAGAAUUUUUUCUAUGGUUACACCCAGCAAAACUAUGGGGACAACAUUGCAGCUGCUUAUUACAUCCUUAGCCUGAAGGGAGGAUUCAGGUUUGCAGGGCAGUCAGAGUGGUUCCGAUCAGACAGAAGAGGGAAGUUCAGUUGGGACUUCAUGAACCACCGGGACACCUCCAUAGAGGAAGUGGAUGUCGGCAACACGCUCAUUAACUACACAGGCCUGGAAAACCUCGUGAAACAGAGGGGGCUGCGUACUCUCUCUGUGAGUGGCUGCGCUGAGGUGGAUGACUGGUUCCUGUCCCGCCUCUAUAUCUUCCAGGACACCCUGGAGGAGCUGGACAUUUCAAACUGUCCCCGAAUCUCUGUGGGGGGCCUGGCCGCACUGCAGAAGCUGAGGUACACUGACCAACACGGGAGGAAAUGACAAAAACAGAGGUGUUUUAUCAAUUAGUACAUGAGGAACCGAGAAAAGACUAUCUCCUUGCUUCGUCCUUAAAAUGGAUUGGAGGAUGCGUUUUGAGAAGAAGGGGUCUGCGACGGCUGAACGUGUCCUCCCUCCCCAGGCUCCAGAACCCUGGGCUGGUCGCCAUCCUGCUGGAGGAGAUGCUUCCUCAUUGCCAUGUUACUGCUGUCGGGUACGACCACAGCCUGAUCUACAGCCCCACACAGACAGACGGCUAGACGCCCAGACACAGAUAAAGGCCCAUGCAGAGGCUGGACGUCAAAAUCUGACUAGAGAAGUGGAGAGACACAAUCGAAGUUGGGCAUGGUGACAAAUGCUCUUAUUCGCUCCCUUUUUGAUUCUUUAACUAACACACACACGGACAAACAGGCAGGGAGGGAUGCCCAUUUAGUGUGUGAUGUAGAGCCUCACUGAUUUAAAAAAGGAUAAAUUAUCAGACAAGGGUUUUACUUACUUGUAGAGCAACAUUGUCGUCCUUAAGCUACCAAAAUGAUCAGUCGAAAUAUUUCCUUCAAAAUAUGUAUAUAUGAUGAUGGUAUGGAUUAUUAUUAUGCGUUGUAUUGGUGAUUUAAAUAAAAAUAUUUGUAAAAUAUG